AUUGAACGCUGGCGGCAUGCCUUACACAUGCAAGUCGAACGGCAGCGGGGGAGAAGCUAGCUUUUCCUGCCGGCGAGUGGCGAACGGGUGAGUAAUACAUCGGAACGUGCCCUGUAGUGGGGGAUAACUAGUCGAAAGAUUAGCUAAUACCGCAUACGACCUGUGGGUGAAAGUGGGGGACCGCAAGGCCCCAAUCUCUAGGAGCGGCCGAUGUCUGAUUAGCUAGUUGGUGGGGUAAAGGCCUACCAAGGCGACGACCAGUAGCUGGUCUGAGAGGACGAUCAGCCACACUGGGACUGAGACACGGCCCAGACGCCUACGGGAGGCAGCAGUGGGAAUUUUGGACAAUGGGCGAAAGCCUGAUCCAGCAAUGCCGCGUGUGUGAAGAAGGCCUUCGGGUUGUAAAGCACUUUUGUCCGGAAAGAAAUGGCUCUGGUUAAUACCUGGGGUCGAUGACGGUACCGGAAGAAUAAGGACCGGCUAACUACGUGCCAGCCGCCGCGGUAA
rnacentral:rRNA from 1 species